GUGCCUAGAAGAUGAAUGGGUUCCCGAAAUGCAGGUCAUCUUUCUCACUUUGCCAAUUAGAUCUAAUUCUCCAUGUCUAGCUGGCCAUUCAAAGAUGCAACAUUU